rnacentral:rRNA from 1 species
ACUACGGGCGGCUGUAGUGGGGAAUAUUGCGCAAUGGGCGAAAGCCUGACGCAGCGACGCCGCGUGAGGGAUGAAGGUCUUCGGAUCGUAAACCUCUGUCAGCAGGGAAGAACGGUCACUGUGCUAAUCAGCAGUGAAUUGACGGUACCUGCAAAGGAAGCACCGGCUAACUCCGUGCCAGCAGCCGCGGUAAUACGGAGGGUGCGAGCGUUAAUCGGAAUUACUGGGCGUAAAGCGCUCGUAGGCGGUAUGUCAAGUCAAGGGUGAAAUCCCCGCGCUCAACGUGGGAACUGCCGUUGAAACUGGCAAACUGGAGUGUGUGAGAGGAUAGUGGAAUUCCAGGUGUAGGAGUGAAAUCCGUAGAUAUCUGGAGGAACAUCAGUGGCGAAGGCGACUAUCUGGCACAUAACUGACGCUGAGGAGCGAAAGCGUGGGUAGCAAACAGGAUUAGAUACCCUUGUAGUC